UCAUAUGGAUAGGCAAAGAAGGUGGUAUAUUGAGAUGGAAUCUACUCCUGGUGAAGAUGCUGUGAA
rnacentral:pre_miRNA from 4 species